CAUCAUAGUUCCACCACUCUAUAGGGGUUGGUUUGGUUAUGUAUUGGCUUUGUAGGCUCAUUUUAUAUCUGCAUUCACUGCCUUUCCGACCCAAUCUUGUGCCUUUCCUUUUUAUGUUUACAGGAAUUAUGUGAAGAGUCAUCAAUGGCAAUGAUCGAAUGUGGUUCUUAACACUUUCACAUCAGGUAAGGAGAAAGAAUUGCAUGAAUAGUCAUUGGUGACUGAGAUCGAAUGCAGUGCGAAACCUUAUCAGGGAAAGGGACAGAAUUGCAUGAAGAAUCAUUGGUGACUGAGAUUGAAUGCAGUGCGAAAACGUCCAUGUCAGGGAAAGAGACAGAAUUAUGUGAAGAGUCAUCAAUGGCAAUGAUUGAAUGUGGUUCGAAACACUUCCACAUCAGAUAAGGAGAAAUGUCAGCAUGAAGUACACAGUGCUGUUUUUUCCAGUUUGGAUUUGUGCGAUGAUUGAUUGUAGCGGUUCCAUGUCAAGUAGAAAGUGGCCGACUUCAACUUGCAAAUACACCAACUCAAGGACAGUUAUUAUAAAAACAUGGAGCAGACUGAAGUGAAUGCAGUCAUAAAACAUUUUAAAGGGACACCUCACCACAAAAGCACAGUGUGAUCAAUGCAAGAAAGCAGAAGACCAUGUUCUUAAAGAAAGAAGAAAAAUUAAGUGACUUUGUGAGGAACAGAGGUUUGCAGAUAAAUAAAAGAAAUGUUGGAGUGCAUUUCAACAAAGAAAAGCAAAAACUGCUUUUAAACGGUUAGUUCAUCCAAAAAAUUAAAUUAGCCCAUGGUUUAUUCACCCUUAUGCAAUCCUAGCUGUAUAUGACAUUCUUCGUUCAG